CGGGUGAGUAACACGUGAGCAACCUGCCCCUGACUCUGGGAUAAGCGCUGGAAACGGCGUCUAAUACUGGAUAUGUGACGUGACCGCAUGGUCUGCGUCUGGAAAGAAUUUCGGUUGGGGAUGGGCUCGCGGCCUAUCAGCUUGUUGGUGAGGUAAUGGCUCACCAAGGCGUCGACGGGUAGCCGGCCUGAGAGGGUGACCGGCCACACUGGGACUGAGACACGGCCCAGACUCCUACGGGAGGCAGCAGUGGGGAAUAUUGCACAAUGGGCGCAAGCCUGAUGCAGCAACGCCGCGUGAGGGACGACGGCCUUCGGGUUGUAAACCUCUUUUAGCAGGGAAGAAGCGAAAGUGACGGUACCUGCAGAAAAAGCGCCGGCUAACUACGUGCCAGCAGCCGCGGUAAUACGUAGGGCGCAAGCGUUAUCCGGAAUUAUUGGGCGUAAAGAGCUCGUAGGCGGUUUGUCGCGUCUGCUGUGAAAUCCGGAGGCUCAACCUCCGGCCUGCAGUGGGUACGGGCAGACUAGAGUGCGGUAGGGGAGAUUGGAAUUCCUGGUGUAGCGGUGGAAUGCGCAGAUAUCAGGAGGAACACCGAUGGCGAAGGCAGAUCUCUGGGCCGUAACUGACGCUGAGGAGCGAAAGGGUGGGGAGCAAACAGGCUUAGAUACCCUGGUAGUCCACCCCGUAAACGUUGGGAACUAGUUGUGGGGUCCAUUCCACGGAUUCCGUGACGCAGCUAACGCAUUAAGUUCCCCGCCUGGGGAGUACGGCCGCAAGGCUAAAACUCAAAGGAAUUGACGGGGACCCGCACAAGCGGCGGAGCAUGCGGAUUAAUUCGAUGCAACGCGAAGAACCUUACCAAGGCUUGACAUAUACGAGAACGGGCCAGAAAUGGUCAACUCUUUGGACACUCGUAAACAGGUGGUGCAUGGUUGUCGUCAGCUCGUGUCGUGAGAUGUUGGGUUAAGUCCCGCAACGAGCGCAACCCUCGUUCUAUGUUGCCAGCACGUAAUGGUGGGAACUCAUGGGAUACUGCCGGGGUCAACUCGGAGGAAGGUGGGGAUGACGUCAAAUCAUCAUGCCCCUUAUGUCUUGGGCUUCACGCAUGCUACAAUGGCCGGUACAAAGGGCUGCAAUACCGCGAGGUGGAGCGAAUCCCAAAAAGCCGGUCCCAGUUCGGAUUGAGGUCUGCAACUCGACCUCAUGAAGUCGGAGUCGCUAGUAAUCGCAGAUCAGCAACGCUGCGG
rnacentral:rRNA from 1 species